AUGGCAUUUCAAUCUUUGGAGGCAUUCAAGACCCGGCACAAUAACAAGCCAUUCACUCUUACGCAUUGUUGGACGAUCAUCAACAAUUGCCCUAAGUUCAAGGACCAAUACCGUGAACUACAAAGGAAGAGAGGACUAAAGACGGCCAAGUAUGCCGGAGGUGGAGAUGGCGAGGCCUUGAAGAGGCCGAGGGGCAAGACCAACUCCAAGGUUGAUGACAUACGUGAUGCCUCAUCCAUGGCAUUGCAUGACACUUUGCAUGGCAUGAUGUCCCAAAAGGAUGUGAGAGACGAGAAGAAGCGACAAAGCAAGGAGGAGCUAAUGAAGCAAUACCUAGACCUUCAAACAAAGAAGCUUGAGAUGAAGGAGGCAGCCAAGAGAAGGAAGAUCGACAUGAAGGAGGCGGCCCGGCAAAGGCAGCUCGACAUCGAGGCCGACAACGUCAAGGCCAGGCAGAGGCAGCUCGACAUCGAGGCCACGAACACCGCCACCAAAGCGAAGGAGGUGGCCCUUGCGAUCAUGAGCGUGGACUUGUUGAAUAUGAGCGACAAGACGAGGGCCUGGUUCGAGGCUAAGCAGAACGAGAUGCUCGAAGCCGAAGGCCUGAACUAG
rnacentral:rRNA from 1 species